rnacentral:lncRNA from 1 species
UCUCAUUCAAUUUUUGAAUUUUGAAACAGGUGGUUCAACCUUCUCAACUCCAAGUCCACAUCACAUGAGGUACCACUUCCUUCCUCCUUAUUUUUGAUUCAAACAUUGAGGACAAUGUUCAUCUCGGUUGGGGGGAGAGAUGAGGAAGUAAGUAUUAGUUUAAAUUUUUAUCAUACUUAGUUAAAUUAGCUACUUUUUGUUUAAAUUUUAAAAUUUUGCUUUAAACUCCAUGGAUAUUAAGGAUUAACUCUCAAAAUUAAAUGAGAGAAGUCGAGUUUCAACUUGAUUACAUGAGUCUUAGAGUUUGUAUUAUGCUCUUCUAAAAGUUGAUGAAUUGUUGAAACUCCCAUUGCAUGCAAACUUAUCUCUUCCACCUUAAGCUAUUCGCA